rnacentral:rRNA from 1 species
UCUACGGCCAUACCACCCUGAAGGAGCCCGAUCUCGUCUGAUCUCGAAAGCUAAGCAGGGUCGGGCCUGGUUAAUAUUUGGAUGGGAGACCUCCUAGGAAUACCGGGUGCUGUAGGCU